GGCUUUAUAAUAUAAGGAAUAUAUUGGGUUGCAAAUCUAAAAAUGUGUAAUACACUAAGGCUU
rnacentral:tRNA from 1 species